GUGCUAGCUUCAGCAGCACAUAUACUAAAAUUAGAAGGAUUCAGAGAAGAUUAGCAUGGCCCCUGCGCAAGGAUGACAUGUAAAUUCGUCAAGUGUUCCAUAUUUUU
ensembl:snRNA U6 U6 spliceosomal RNA